UUAAGUGACGAUAGCCUAGGAGAUACACCUGUACCCAUGCCGAACACAGCAGUUAAGCCCUAGAACGCCGGAAGUAGUUGGGGGUUGCCCCCUGUGAGAUAUAUGGUAGUCGCUUAGC
rnacentral:rRNA from 1 species